rnacentral:rRNA from 1 species
CAGUCGCCACGGGAAUACGUAGGUGGCAAGCGUUGUCCGGAAUUAUUGGGCGUAAAGGGCUCGCAGGCGGUUUCUUAAGUCUGAUGUGAAAGCCCCCGGCUCAACCGGGGAGGGUCAUUGGGAACUGGGAAACUUGAGUGCAGAAGAGUAGAGUGGAAUUCCACGUGUAGCGGUGAAAUGCGUAGAGAUGUGGAGGAACACCAGUGGCGAAGGCGACUCUCUGGUCUGUAACUGACGCUGAGGAGCGAAAGCGUGGGGAGCGAACAGGAUUAGAUACCCCAGUAGUCCCUGUCUCUUAUAC